rnacentral:rRNA from 2 species
UACGAAGGGGGCUAGCGUUGUUCGGAAUUACUGGGCGUAAAGGGCGCGUAGGCGGCCGUGCAAGUCAGAUGUGAAAGCCCUGGGCUCAACCCAGGAGGUGCAUUUGAUACUGCAUGGCUAGAGUGUCGGAGAGGAUGGUGGAAUUCCCAGUGUAGAGGUGAAAUUCGUAGAUAUUGGGAAGAACACCGGUGGCGAAGGCGACCAUCUGGACGACAACUGACGCUGAGGCGCGAAAGCGUGGGGAGCAAACAGG